rnacentral:rRNA from 1 species
GGUUUGGGUGAGGCCUGGUUCUUCGGAUCAGAACGAGCCUGGACUCAGUGAGACGCAAGAAGUCGUAACAAGGUGCCCGUAGCGGAAGCUGCGGGCGGAUCACCUCCU